GAGCCUUUAUCAGGGAGCUGGGCCGGUGUUCCUGCCACAUCCUCAGAUCCCCUCCACUCCCUGUUUCUCUGCACGGAGGGAGGCAGCGGCACUACCAGCGCGUGGGGAGUGGGCACUGCUGCCGACCAGCUCCCUGAUCCUGCUAGACCAUCUGCCCUGGGCUCAAAGCUACUCCACAGGCACCAUGAGGAGUGCCCUGCUGUUCGCAGCCAUUCUGGCCAUUAGCCUGGUUCACGGUUUGGGGGCUGUCUGUGAGGACUCACGGGAGCAGGUGGUGCCCGGUGGGGGCCACAACAAGAAGGACUUGGACCUCUACCAGCUGCCUCCAUCUUUGCUCCGGAAACUCUAUGACAGCCGCUCAGUCUCUCUGGAUGGAUUGCUCAAAAUGCUGAGCAAGGCUAGCGUGGAUCCUAAGGAAUUGCCACUUCCCCAGAAACGUGACAUGCACGACUUCUUCGUGGGACUUAUGGGCAAGAGGAACAGCCAGCCAGACACUUCUAUUGAUGUAAACCAAGAGAAUGUCCCCAGCUUUGGCACCCUCAAGUAUCCCCCCAGUGCGGAAUGAGGUGCCAGGAAGAAUAGCACAUAAAGUCCCCGGAGGCUGGCAUUUAAAGGAGAUUAGCACUCCACUUCUGGACUCGUGGGCUGCAUCAUGAAGACACCUGCCCCCCACCUCCCAACCCCCAGCUGCACGUGCUCCAUUUCCCUUUCUUCGCCCCCCACCACCCCCCACCUUGUAACACUCCUGUGCUUUGACUCCUUCCCCAUCCCUCUACCUCACCGUGAUGGAGAAACUGCAGAGUGAGCACCCUCAAUCCUAGUGGGCAUUGACCCUAGAUCCCCUUGGAUAAUGUAAGUGUCCUACAUUUAAAACUAUGACAUCUCUUUCCAUUCCUCAACAAUAAAAGAUUUUCACAUAUGA